UUCAUUUUGGGGCCUAAAGGACU
rnacentral:piRNA from 1 species